rnacentral:rRNA from 1 species
CAGUAGCCGCGGGAAUACGUAGGGUGCAAGCGUUAAUCGGAAUUACUGGGCGUAAAGCGUGCGCAGGCGGUUAUAUAAGACAGAUGUGAAAUCCCCGGGCUCAACCUGGGAACUGCAUUUGUGACUGUAUAGCUAGAGUACGGCAGAGGGGGAUGGAAUUCCGCGUGUAGCAGUGAAAUGCGUAGAUAUGCGGAGGAACACCGAUGGCGAAGGCAAUCCCCUGGGCCUGUACUGACGCUCAUGCACGAAAGCGUGGGGAGCAAACAGGAUUAGAUACCCCUGUAGUCCCUGUCCUUAUACA